AUGCUUUACCCGUUCCAGCUCCAGGGGCUCAGAUGGCUUUGGUUUCUGCACUGCAGGGGGACCGGUGGCAUUCUCGGGGAUGAUAUGGGGCUGGGGAAGACCAUUCAGGUUUCUGCCUUCCUUGCCGGAUUGUUCCAUUCGGGUUUAAUCAGGAGAGUGUUGGUUGUUGUUCCAAAGACACUUGUGACUCACUGGAUCAGAGAACUUACACUUGUUGACCUCGAAAGCAACAUCAGGGACUGCUCUUGUCCCGACGUAAAUGUUCGCAAGUCUGAGCUCCAGUACGCAUUCAAGGAGGGUGGUGUCCUAUUGACAACAUAUGACAUUGUCUGGAAAUAUUACAACACGAUAAGAGGUGACUUCUACCAUGACGUCGGUGACGAUGAGGAGGGGAACUUAUGGAACUAUGUUGUUCUCGACGAGGCACAUUUAAUCAAAAACCCCAAGACACAAAGAUUCCAAAGAAUAUCUGAAAUACCGUGUGUCCAUCGGAUUGCCAUCAGUGGAACACCUAUACAAAAUAACUUGGAGGAAAUGUGGGCUCUUUUCUAUUUCUGUUGUCCGGAAGUCCUGGGUGAUAGGGAUGAGUUUAGAGAAAGGUAUGAAAAUUAUAUCAAUCGAGGAAAUGAAAAGGAUGCCACCAAUCCAGAGAAGCACAUAGGCUCAAACGUAGCCAAGGAAUUAAGAGAACUGAUAAAGCCUUAUUUCUUGCGUCGUAUGAAAGAUGAAGUGUACUUUGCUACUAGCUUGACAAAUGAGAAUACGCUUCCUAAGAAAAAUGAGCUAAUCAUCUGGCUGAAAUUAACAGAUUACCAGAGGAAACUAUAUGAAGGUUUUCUGAACAGUCAUAUAUUUAAUAAAAUGCGACCUCGCUUGCUGGACAUCACUAUAUUGAAGAACAUAUGUGAUCACCCAGACCCACUGAUAUUGAAAAAAGUUGCUGCUGAGGGCACCUUGGAAGGCAUGGAAGAUAUGGAUGGAAAAUUAAAUGGUCAUGAUAUGGCGAGGCUCAAAAACAUGGCCUUGAACGUUGCUGGUUAUGAUGAUGAUGCACUGCAAGUUGGCCAGCUGGAAGUCUCAUGCAAAUUAUCUUUCAUCAUGUCCUUGUUGAAAAAUCUUCUUGAAGAGGGACAUCAUGUUCUAAUUUUUUCUCAGACUCGCAAAAUGCUAAACAUUGUUCAGGAAGCUAUAUCAUUAAAGGGCUACAGGUUUUUUCGCAUCGAUGGUACCACCAAGAUUUCAGCAAGGGAAAGGAUUGUGAAGGGUUUCCAAGAGGAUUUUGGAACUCAAAUAUUUUUACUGACUACCAAAGUCGGUGGUCUUGGACUUACACUCACCAAGGCAGAUCGUGUCAUAGUAGUUGGUCCUGAUUGGAAUCCAAGUAUUGACAAUCAAAGUGUCGAUCGUGCCUAUCGAAUAGGACAGACAAAAGAUGUGAUUGUAUACCGCUUGAUGACGGCUGGAACCAUCGAAGAAAAGAUAUAUAGAACGCAGAUUUUCAAGUGGGGUUUGUUUAGGACAGCGACUGAGCAGAAAGAACAAACACGCUACUUCAACCAGAGGGACAUUCAGGAGCUUCUCAGUCUGCCAGCACAAGGUUUCGAUGUUUCCUCCACGCAGAAGCAAUUGCAAACAGAGCAUGAACAGCAGCUUGACAUGGAUGAGUCACUGAGGGAGCACCUAGAUUUUCUGGAGCAGCAAGGAAUAGCCGGCGUGAGCCAUCACAGCCUUCUGUUUUCGAAGACAGAAGUGCUGCCAACUUUGAAUGAGAAUGAUCAUGCACCGGCCAGAAAAAGGAGAAGGAAACCUUUUUGA
rnacentral:rRNA from 1 species